UUCAGGUUUGUUCAUAUGCCCCAACGAAUACUGUGGUCGAGCAUACAAAUUCAAGAAAGGCUUGAUGAGACAUUUCGCCAACGAAUGUGCUGUGAAAAAGUUCUUCUGCCCUAAUUUCGGUUGUGAUCGAAGUUACAAGUAUAAAAGUGGACUGAGAAGACACGUGACUUACGAAUGUGGCAAAGAGAAGCAAUUCGAAUGCGAUAUAUGUUUCAAAACUUUUAGUCAAAGUGAACACGUUAAAAGACAUUGUAUCAAUGUGCAUGGAGUUGUUCACUGAUAACGAGCCUGUACUGGAUUAUAUUUUUUUGAAACCCCUUUUAUUGCAAUUUUAAAUGUUUUAAAUCAUAAAUUUUUAUUUAUUGUAUGAUGUACUAUUUUAAUGAUGUAUGUUUAAAUUUAAAUUCGUGUCUCAAUUUGUUUUUUGUUUUUCAAUUUCAUGUGGCCAAGUGCCAAAUAAAACUUCAUGAUGUCUCAAA